GGGCAUGCUCAGUGAGCCACCAGAGGCAGUGGACCCUUAGGCGUAGCACCUGCACCGCCCUGCCCUGGGGAGGCGACCCCGAGUACCCACGCGGGACACUGGUAAAGGGGGCAUUGUUGGACAUGACUAGCUCUGUCUGGUUCCUGGAGAGGGACAUAAAGGGUGUGUUUGUGCUAGGGUACAAAGAGAGGAUGGCAUCUUCCUUUGCCACCGGAGUAUUGGGGAACUAGGAGGUGCGACCGGCCUUUGGCUUCCUGCACAGUCGGAAUCCGGAGGAUCUUUAAGGUGGUGUGGCCGGGAAUACCACCUCUGGGCUGAGAAUCGCUUCGCAUGGGUUUGGGAUGAGCGGUAGUAGUGGACUAGACAGAGAUGGCUUUAGGGUCGGUUUUAUUUGCUUAUUCUUAGGUCAAGGACAUCGGCCAGACAGUGAUAAGGACAGGAGCUGGUGUCUUAACCGGAGCAACAGACAUUCAAGCUGAAUGAGGCUGAAUGAGCACAGAAGGGGGAAGGGGGAAGAGGAAACACUUGCGAUAAAAUAGGUACAAGGAUCAAUAUGUGGUGUAUGGGGGCAUACUAAAAGCGUCGUUAUUCAAAAGCAGGUGUAGCAGUUAAUGACAGUCCUGUGGUCAUUACACAGGGCUCUACGUUUCCUUGCAGAAAUGGCUCCCUUCAUCCCAACUCUAAAUUUUGAAGUAGACAUCGAGACUGGGAAGGAAGUCUGAGCCCCCUUGAUCCCUGUGCAAAGGCAGAGGGGAGGCAACUCAGUGGAGCACAUCUGGAAACCAUUUACAGUAAUCCCAAGAGAGACUGAGUUUUCUCUCCCUGGGUGGAAACAAAGCCCCCCGGGAAUUUUACAAAACCCCAGCCUUCCAGUGCAUGUCUCAGCAGAUCAGAGCUACAUAAACAACUUCUGACCAUUUACACAAUCAUACAAACCUACCCUGACAUCUCCAUUAUGUGGGAAAGAUGUUAACUGGAAAACUAUUUUUAAACUACUGUAGUAAGCAAACACUCCACUCCUCUAAACACAUGCGGCAACCUCCUUAAUUGAUAUAAGUGAUUUUGUUGUAUCUUUAGUCUCACUUUUGGGUUAUUAUUGGUUUUGAUUUUUAACAUAAUUCAUUCUUGAAAAAUGAGCAAAUGUUAAUGAGGGAAUAGCUAUUACAGGUGUUUCACGGUUUCUGAAGUUAAUGCUGGAAGAAAGAGCCCCUGACCUCAUUUUCAAAGUACUUAAAUCUAGAGACAGACUUAAGCCCCUCCCCUUCUCUCAUGGGAAGGAAAUUUCACAGAAAAGAAAACUUGGUAGUGUAUUUUCCCUGGUGAAUUAUUAAAAAUGAAUGGUUUCUAGUAAGUUUGAUGCACCUGCCUGAUCCAUGAUUCUGAUAACUUUUACUGCAUUGCUUUACUUUAUACUAUAUAUAUGUAUAUAUUAAUAAAGUAUAUUAUAUAUACAUA
rnacentral:lncRNA from 1 species